rnacentral:rRNA from 1 species
UUUGGUCAUUUAGAGGAAGUAAAAGUCGUAACAAGGUCUCCGUUGGUGAACCAGCGGAGGGAUCAUUACCGAGUUUACAACUCCCAAACCCCUGUGAACAUACCUAUACGUUGCCUCGGCGGAUCAGCCCGCGCCCCGUAAAAAGGGACGGCCCGCCCGAGGACCCCUAAACUCUGUUUUUAGUGGAACUUCUGAGUAAAACAAACAAAUAAAUCAAAACUUUCAACAACGGAUCUCUUGGUUCUGGCAUCGAUGAAGAACGCAGCAAAAUGCGAUAAGUAAUGUGAAUUGCAGAAUUCAGUGAAUCAUCGAAUCUUUGAACGCACAUUGCGCCCGCCAGUAUUCUGGCGGGCAUGCCUGUUCGAGCGUCAUUUCAACCCUCAAGCUCAGCUUGGUGUUGGGACUCGCGGUAACCCGCGUUCCCCAAAUCGAUUGGCGGUCACGUCGAGCUUCCAUAGCGUAGUAAUCAUACACCUCGUUACUGGUAAUCGUCGCGGCCACGCCGUAAAACCCCAACUUCUGAAUGUUGACCUCGGAUCAGGUAGGAAUACCCGCUGAACUUAAGCAUAUCAAUAAGCGGAGGAA